GGGCGGGUAGUUCAAAUGGCAGAACGUUGGAGCGGCGCCAAUGUUAAAGUCCUCUUGUAGGAUCCAUUCGUGGGUACUUAAUGGAGGACUUCAUGGAGCCUAGUACAAAGGUUGCAAGUUCGACUCUUGUUCCGUCCU